rnacentral:rRNA from 1 species
AGUGAACGCUGGCGGCAGGCCUAAUACAUGCAAGUCGAACGGCAGCACAGUGGAGCUUGCUCCAUGGGUGGCGAGUGGCGGACGGGUGAGGAAUACAUGGGAAUCUGCCCAGUCGUGGGGGAUAACGUAGGGAAACUUACGCUAAUACCGCAUGCGCCCUUCGGGGGAAAGCCGGGGACCUUCGGGCCUGGCGCGAUUGGAUGAGCCCAUGUUCGAUUAGCUAGUUGGCGGGGUAAAGGCCCACCAAGGCGACGAUCGAUAGCUGGUCUGAGAGGAUGAUCAGCCAUACUGGGACUGAGACACGGCCCAGACUCCUACGGGAGGCAGCAGUAGGGAAUAUUGGACAAUGGGCGCAAGCCUGAUCCAGCCAUGCCGCGUGAGUGAAGAAGGCCCUCGGGUUGUAAAGCUCUUUUGUCCGGGAAGAAAAGCAUCGGGCUAAUACCUCGGUGUUCUGACGGUACCGGAAGAAUAAGCACCGGCUAACUUCGUG